GCCGGGAUGGUGGAACUGGUAGACGCAGCGGACUCAAAAUCCGCCGCCCGCAAGGGCUUGCGAGUUCGAUUCUCGCUCCCGGUACCA
rnacentral:tRNA from 1 species